UGGAGGUGAGUCUGACCAGCCCUACAGCUAGAGUCCUACCAACUUUUCAUCUUUCUCCCCGCUGGAGGCAUGUCCAGGCUUGGCUGCACUGCAUACUCUUCCCAGCAGGCCUGGAACCACAGUCAGUCAAGAAGGGAGCAGAUUCUCACCUGGUUACAAGCAGUUAAGCCAAGUCCCAAAGGUGAGAGUGGUUACAAAGAAACAGCGACAGCAACUGAGGAGCAGCCCCAAAUAAGACAAGAUCACAGGACUGCAGCCAGGCCUCUUCAGUUCAGGGAAAUCAAAGUGUUGAUAAAGGAGAGAACAAGAUACAGAACUCAGUUCCUGCAGCAUUAUGCCUGCUUAGAUACUGUCAUGCUUCCUGCCAUCAUGAUAAUGGACUGAACAUCAGAAUCUGUAAGCAAACUCCAAUUAAAUGUCCUUUUGUGAUGAUUU